GAAGGGAAACUGGUUAAUAUUCCAGUACUUGUUUAUAAUAAGCGAUGAGGGGACGCAGCAAGAUAGACCAUCCUGGUGUUGGAAUACCAGGUUUAAGGAAGUAGGUGUGCUAAAUAGGUAAAACCGUUUAGCUAUAACACUGAGAUCUGAUGACGUUGGGUAACCCCCUAUAAAUGGUUAAUUCUAUACUGCCAAGAAAAGCCUCUAAGUAGUAGUUAUAAUCAAACCGUACCGUAAACCAACACAGGUGGGUAGGAAGAGAAUUCUAAGGCGCUUGAG
rnacentral:rRNA from 1 species